rnacentral:rRNA from 1 species
GAUGAACGCUGGCGGCGUGCCUAAUACAUGCAAGUCGAGCGAACAGACGAGGAGCUUGCUCCUCUGACGUUAGCGGCGGACGGGUGAGUAACACGUGGAUAACCUACCUAUAAGACUGGGAUAACUUCGGGAAACCGGAGCUAAUACCGGAUAAUAUAUUGAACCGCAUGGUUCAAUAGUGAAAGACGGUUUUGCUGUCACUUAUAGAUGGAUCCGCGCCGCAUUAGCUAGUUGGUAAGGUAACGGCUUACCAAGGCAACGAUGCGUAGCCGACCUGAGAGGGUGAUCGGCCACACUGGAACUGAGACCCGGUCCAGACUCCUACGGGAGGCAGCAGUAGGGAAUCUUCCGCAAAGGGCGAAAGCCUGACGGAGCAACGCCGCGUGAGUGAUGAAGGUCUUCGGAUCGUAAAACUCUGUUAUUAGGGAAGAACAAAUGUGUAAGUAACUAUGCACGUCUUGACGGUACCUAAUCAGAAAGCCACGGCUAACUACGUG